UAAAAGCCAAAAUUUGUCCAUCUUCUACCCUAUGGCCAUGUGAACGAAGGAGAACACCAUGGCUAGGGUUUUCAAGCUUCCAAGCUCACUAGUAAGAGUUUCCAAGCCCUGUUUUCAAUGUUCUUUGCAUUUUUGAAGUCCCGGUGACAUGAUCAACUCAUUUCUACCCAUAUUUUUAGCUAGGGUUCAUGUUUAAAAAUUUAUCCAUGCAUGACAUGUUAGUAUUUUGAAGAUUAAUGGAAGAAUAUGAAAGAUUGAAGUAUGUUUAACAACUUUUACUAGGUGAUUUUUCAUGAAAACACCUAAAAAGGACAAAAAUGUAAAAGUUGUAAAAUAGGUAGUAAAUGUGUGAAAUGAAAGAGAAAUGUGGGCUGCUAUAAGAGUAAUAAAGGUUCAGCUAGGUUUAAAGUACAAGAAAAAUGAACACAUUUCAUUUUACGAGCCUAGGGGCUAAAUUACAAAUAUGUGAAAGUUUAGGGGUAAAAAUACAAAUUUGUAAAAGUAUGAUUUUUGGGUCCAUUUGAAUAAUGUGAGUAAUAAAUAAGCUAUAUUUGAAAUGUUAGAUCAAGAAAACUGAGAUUCGGGCUUAAAUCGGGAAAGUACGAGAUUAUGGACUGAAAUGGAAUAAUUAGCUGUGCUCGGAUUCGAGGUAAGUUCGUACGUCAAUAAUAAUGCUAUAUUAUACUUGAAUGUUAGUGCUUGAUAUUACAUGAAUAGUAAGUGCAUGUGUAAAUAAUGUGACAAUGUGGUAUGUUAUGUUGUGUUAACAUUAUGUGAUAAUUAUUUUAUUGCUUAUUAUGUAUGUUAUGUCUAAUGGUACUAUUGUAAGCAUGAAUGAUAUUAUGGUCGCUAUCCAUGACGUCACGAGCAAACAGAGGUGCAAUGUGCAAGUGAGAAAAACCCAUUUGAACCUUAGGAAUAGUCUAGGAUACAAGUGACAUGUCACUAGGAAUUAAGAAGCCUGAACUCGUUGAGUGGUCUGGGUUCGUGAUAUAUGUGGCAUCCGAGCUCGUUGAGUGGUCCGAGUUCAUAAUGGAUGCGAUACAUGUGAUUGAGUUCCGGACAAUGGUCUUGUGUGUCCUAUCGGUGGCUAGGUAAUCCUUGAGUGGUCGGAUACCUGAUAGCUUUUGUGAGCAGCCCGUGUAGUUACACCUUGAUCGAUAGCUUAUAUGAGCAAGCUCGUGAGUAGCUCUAUUGCGAGCGUUACAUGUUAUGAGGUAGCUUUGGCUACGUAUGUAUAUGUGGCACUUAUGUGCAAGUUUUUCGCGUAUCCAAUAGUAUUCCGAGUGUUCAACUAUUAAUGUAAUGCAAUGGGUGUGACGAAAGUCUCGAGGAGGGCAUAUAAAGAGGUAUGAUCAUAUGAUAUACUACGAGUGGUACAAGUAUGUUCACUAAACUCACGAGUAAUGCCUUGAUAUAUGACAUUUCAUGAUAAAGAGGUAAGUGGGUGAUAAGUAAGUCAAAGGUUUUGAAUGAUGAAUAAACUUAUGUUUAUGUUUAUGAUUAUGUUUAUUAUGUCAUCAUAUGAUAGUUAUCAUGAUAUUGCACUAAAAUAGUCAUGGACAACAGCAAUUGUGUGACUUUGAAAAUCCACUAAAAAUUAUGGAAAUUGAACUAGAAACUGAAUAAGAUAUGAGAUUAAAUCUUAUUGAGCCUAGUUUCACAUAGAGGAAACGGUGUAAACAAAAGAAUUUCAUAUUAUGAGAUAUUUGAAUUUUUAUGAGAUAGGGUCAGACUGAUUUCGUGCUCCCCUGUUUUAAAUUUGGAAAAUCACUAAAAAUUGUACAAGAAUAAUUAUGGGUUAGAAUUUAUAAGACUAAAUUUUUAAUGAGUAUAUUUUCAAGAGAAAUAGAUGGAAACAUUAGUUGGAUCCCGUACUAAGAGAUAAGUAAAUUUUAGUAAAGAAAGGUCAAAGUUGUCAAAUAACAGAACAGAGGUAACUUUGAAGAAUAAACUGUAUUUAGUGGCUGGACCAAAAAUUCUAUAAAUUUUAUGGUAAGAAGAUAUGUGAGUCUAAUUUCAUGGAAAAUUAGCGGAUUUUAAUUUAGAGUUCCUUAGCUCAAGUUAUAAAUAAUUUGGUGACUAUGACUCGAGUAGAUAGCUUGACUGGAAUGUGAGCAAUUAGUGGAAUUAUGUGUAAUUUAAAUUGUGUUACCACGAGAACAUGUAAUAAUUUGGAAAAAGCACGUUAAUAAGUUACUUAUUAUUAUUUUCAUACUGGCUUACUAAGCUAUAAAGCUUACCCCUCUCCUUUCCAUUUCUCUUAGUGUUGACAGGUUAGCUCGAGGUUGGAGAUCGUCGGAGGCAGCAUCACACUAUCAAGUUAUCAAGCCGGGGUAUUAACAAAUCUUAAGUGUUUUCAAGUGAGUGGCAUGUAUAGAGACUUAUUACUUUACGAUAUGUGUUUCAUGAUUUGGCCAAUUGAGUUGGCUUAUAAUGUUUCAUUUGUAUAGAGCAUGAGAUAUGACUUAUAUUUGAUCAUUGGGUUUUAAACCUAAUUGAUUUUGCU
rnacentral:lncRNA from 1 species